GCCAGGGUAGCUCAGUUGGUAGAGCGUGGGACUCAUAAGCCCGAGGUCGUGGGUUCAAUCCCCACCCCUGGUA
rfam:Candidatus Portnoybacteria bacterium RBG_13_40_8 RBG_13_scaffold_702, whole genome shotgun sequence.